AAAAAAUCAUAUCGUUGUUAAAUAUUUGUUUGCUUUUAGAUUUUAAACGGAUCACUUUUUCCCAAAGAGAUCACUUCAAACAAAAUAUUUGAUGUCAUGUUUUGCAUAUCUAUCUGAUCCAGAUUUAAACUUGUUUGGAAAAAUAAAUGGUCAAAAGAUGGAUUUACGAUUAAAAUUCGCAUUCAUGUCUGCUGUCACUCUAAUAUUGAUGCCAAGAAUUACAACAAACAAGCACCAAAGGUUUGAAUGGACAAGUUUAAAACUUCGAUUUGAUAUGUUUACAUCCUUCCCCACAACAGAACGUGAUGCUCUCCAAACUGGAUAUACAAAAAUAUCGGAAUGUGAAAGCAACCCUAACUUUAGAGGAAAGCAGUUUAUGAAGAAUGGGGAUCCACAAGUUAUUCUUCUGUUUGACGUUAACGGAAAUAUUGCAGGACUACAAUCUGGAAUUCCUUUUGAUAUAGAUAACGGAUAUCCACCAGAUAAUAUGCAGCCGCCAUUUAUCCGUGAUGGAGAACUUUAUAAACUGACAGCUUAUUUUACACCCAAGCACUAUUUGUAAAAGAGGAAGAUCGCCACAGCGAAUUCAAUUGCACGGAAUAGCCGAAUACCUUCUAAUUCAGAAUGGUACUGAACCGGAAGAAGAUGUGAUAGAAUGGCCUUAGAAGAGUCCAUAACAAAAUGGAUAAAAGGCUAUGCUUUCCCGGUAUGGGAUUUCAUUACUUUUACAACAUAUAUCUUGAUAUGAAUUGCUCUAACUUUUUCCCGGUUGCUCUUCUGUAUUACCACGGACAACUGAAAGGAUUUGUUUGGUCCUAUGAAGCCGUGCUGAAUUAAACAAUUAUUCCAUAUGAAUACCCUGAACCAUCCUUUUUCGCAAAAUUGAUGGAAGAGGACCCUCUUUGUUAAAGGAACCUAAGAAGAUCCACACUUCAUGUUUAUUUCGAAGAAAACCCGAGCAAAUACGAUUGUGUUUAUUUCGAAAAGCGAUCGGAAUGCAAUACGUCCACUGCUGAUAUGUUAAAAGUGUCAACACUCGUAUUUUUUUUCUGGACACUUGCGUUUACUUUGUUUCGAAACUAAAUUUUGAACAGUCAUAGUACACUUUAAUAAAUUUCAG
rnacentral:lncRNA from 1 species